rnacentral:rRNA from 1 species
AUGCGCGACCACGAAGCACCGCCGGCUCGCACUAACCGCCGCGUUGUCCCGCAUGCCUCGCCGUCGCCGUCGCCGCUCGCCGUCACCGUCGCCGCUCGCCGUCGCCGCCGCCGCUCGCCGGUUGGAGCACUGGUCGCCGUUCGAGCAGCCCCGACGACCUUGCGGCGCGCCUCGCCACGGUGGCCGUCGCAGUUCGCCGCGGUGACCUGUCACGGCUCUAAAAAAAGCUUCAAUUGUUGCAGCUUUGGAAUUGCUGGUUCCAGCAAAAUUAAAAACUGGUUGAAGCAAAAUUUAUUUCCGGUUGUAUCAAAAAUUGCUUUGCAUCUCUGA